rnacentral:rRNA from 1 species
AGCAGCCGCGGUAAUUCCAGCUCCAAUAGCGUAUAUUAAAGUUGUUGCAGUUAAAAAGCUCGUAGUUGAAUUUCGGGACCAGUAUGUUGGUCGUGCUUCGGUACGUACUGUCAUUACUGGUUUCUCCCUUCUGAAGGACCUUGAUGUCAUUAAUUUGGUGUCUUGGGGAAUCAGGACUGUUACUUUGAAAAAUUAGAGUGUUUAAAGCAGGCAUACGCUUGAAUACAUUAGCAUGGAAUAAUGGAAUAGGACGUUUGAUUCUAUUUUGUUGGUUUCUAGGAUCGACGUAAUGAUUAAUAGGGAUAGUUGGGGCAUUAGUAUUCAAUUGUCAGAGGUGAAAUUCUUGGAUUUAUGAAGACUAACUACUGCGAAAGCAUUUGCCAAGGAUGUUUUCUAUUAAUCAAGAACGAAAGUUAGGGGAUCGAAGACGAUCAGAUACCGUCGUAGUCUUAACCAUAAACUAU